CAUUCUCACACCCACACCACAUCAACAUACCACCAUCACCGACACCCUCACAACCAGCACAUUACAUAGCAAAACACCACGACACACGGGAGCAACACACACACAAUUUAAAGAAGCAUUCAAAUAAUAUCAAACACAUACAGAACCCCAUACACAAGACGUAAGCUUACAUUCAUCAUGAACAAACGGCUCACCAACACCACAUCCAAAGCAAUUACAAGAGGAAAGAUCCCCCACCUCAGAACAACAAACGGUCCAAAACCAUUCAGGAGGCACCCACCAAGGAACAUCCGUCAAGGACGAGAAUCCAACCCCCCCAAGUAGCGUGCAGGCUGACGGCCAUCUGGCCAUAAACAGCUUUUCUUCAGGACUCAUCGCCAUUAAGUGUAAUGUUUUGCAAGUACCAUUCAAUAAGGACCGGCUAAUUCCGUGCCAGCAGCCGCGGUAAUACGGAAGGUCCGGGCGUUAUCCGGAUUUAUUGGGUUUAAAGGGAGUGUAGGCGGUUGGUUAAGCGUGUUGUGAAAUGUAGAUGCUCAACAUCUGACUUGCAGCGCGAACUGGCUGACUUGAGUACACACAACGUAGGCGGAAUUCAUGGUGUAGCGGUGAAAUGCUUAGAUAUCAUGAAGAACUCCGAUUGCGAAGGCAGCUUACGGGAGUGUUACUGACGCUUAAGCUCGAAGGUGCGGGUAUCGAACAGG
rnacentral:rRNA from 1 species